rnacentral:rRNA from 1 species
UACGGAGGGAGCUAGCGUUGUUCGGAAUUACUGGGCGUAAAGCGCGCGUAGGCGGCUUUGUAAGUUAGAGGUGAAAGCCCGGGGCUCAACCCCGGAACUGCCUUUAAGACUGCAUCGCUUGAAUCCGGGAGAGGUGAGUGGAAUUCCCGGUGUAGAGGUGAAAUUCGUAGAUAUCGGGAGGAACACCGGUGGCGAAGGCGGCGACCUGGGUCGAGACUGACGCUGAGGCGCGAAAGCGUGGGGAGCAAACAGG